AAAUAUUUUUAAGAUACCUGCUCAGUGAAUAUUUUAAAUACCCGCUUUAGUGCUAAGGUAGCAUAAUAAUUAGUUUUUUAAUUGAAAAAUAGAAUGAAUGGUUUUACUAAAAUUUAUAUUUUAAAAUCUUAAAACGAAGUUUUAUUUUUAGUGAAAAUACUAAAAAAAUAUUUUUAGACGAGAAGACCCUAUGAAGCUAAAAAUCAUUACAAGAACUAUAAAAAGACUUGAUUUAUUUUUUGGGGAAAAAUUUAAUCAAUAUAUUAAUAAUAUUUUAUAUGAAUAUAUCCUUAAAGGAAUAUUGAAAAAGCUCCUCUAGGGAUAACAGCAUAAUGUUUAUUAGAGUUCUUAUCGGAAUAAACGUUUGUGACCUCGAUGUUGAAUUAAAUAUUUUUAUAUGUGCAGAAGCUUAUAAAAAAAGGUCUGUUCGACCUUA
rnacentral:rRNA from 1 species